rnacentral:rRNA from 1 species
GAUGAACGCUGGCGGCGUGCCUAAUACAUGCAAGUCGAGCGAUCAGACGAGGAGCUUGCUCCUCUGUCGUUAGCGGCGGACGGGUGAGUAACACGUGGAUAACCUACCUUUAAGACUGGGAUAACUUCGGGAAACCAAUGCUAAUACCGCAUAAUAUCUUUAACCGUAUGUUUCAAUAGUGAAAGACGGUUUUGCUGUCACUUAUAGAUGUAUCCGCUCCGCAUAAGGUAGUUGGUAAGGUAACGGCUAACCAAGGCAACAUUGCGAACCCGACCUGAGAGGUUGCUAGGCAACACGGGAAUGGGAACACGGCCAAGACUCCUACGGGAGGAGGCAGAAGGAAACUGUGCGCAAUGGGGAAAAGCGUAACGAGGAAAGGCCGCGGAAGGGAUGAAGUUCUCCGGAUCGGAAAACCCUGUUAUAGGGGAAGAACAAAUGUGUAAGGAACUACGCACGUCUUGACGGUACCUAAUCAGAAAGCCACGGCUAACUACGUG